rnacentral:rRNA from 1 species
AUUGAACGCUAGCGGGAUGCUUUACACAUGCAAGUCGAAAGAGUGGCGGACGGGUGAGUAAUAUAUCGGAAGUGCCCAGUAACGGGGGAUAACUACUGGAAACGGUAGCUAAUACCGAAUACUAGCGGAUAACCCAUAUGGGAUUAGCUAGGAGGUGAUGUAAUGGCUAACCUAGGCGACGAUCCCUAGCUGGUCUGAGAGGAUGAUCAGCUACACUGGGACUGAGACACGUCCCAGCCUCCUACGGCGGCAGCAGUGGGUAAGAUUGCACAAGGGGCGCAAGCCUUAUGCAGCCAUGCCGCUUGUAUGAAGAAGGCCCUAGGGUUUUAAAGUACUUUCAGUCGGGAGGCGUUACCGACAGAAGAAGCACCGGCUAACUCCGUGCCAGCCGCCGCGGUAAUAC